rnacentral:rRNA from 1 species
GAUGGACGCUAGCGGGAGGCCUAACACAUGCAAGCCGAGCGGUAGAGUUUCUUCGGAAACUUGAGAGCGGCGCACGGGUGCGUAACACGUGUGCAACCUACCUUUAUCUGGGGGAUAGCCUUUCGAAAGGAAGAUUAAUACCCCAUAAUAUAAUGAUUGGCAUCAAUUAUUAUUGAAAACUCCGGUGGAUAGAGAUGGGCACGCGCAAGAUUAGAUAGUUGGUGAGGUAACGGCUCACCAAGUCAAUGAUCUUUAGGGGUCCUGAGAGGGAGAUCCCCCACACUGGUACUGAGACACGGACCAGACUCCUACGGGAGGCAGCAGUGAGGAAUAUUGGACAAUGGGUGAGAGCCUGAUCCAGCCAUCCCGCGUGAAGGAUGACGGUCCUAUGGAUUGUAAACUUCUUUUGUACAGGGAUAAACCUACCCUCGUGAGGGUAGCUGAAGGUACUGUACGAAUAAGCACCGGCUAACUCCGUG